UACGAAGGGGGCUAGCGUUGUUCGGAAUUACUGGGCGUAAAGCGCGCGCAGGCGGUCUUCCAAGUCAGUGGUGAAAGCCCGGAGCUCAACUCCGGAACUGCCAUUGAAACUGUAAGACUUGAGGACGAGAGAGGUGAGUGGAAUUCCCAGUGUAGAGGUGAAAAUUCGUAGAUAUUGGGAAGAACACCAGUGGCGAAGGCGGCUCACUGGCUCGUAUCUGACGCUCAGGCGCGACAGCGUGGGGAUCGAAACAGG
rnacentral:rRNA from 1 species